GCCAGGGUAGCUCAGGGGUAGAGCAGAGGACUCAUAAGCCUAAGGUCGGCGGUUCAAAUCCGCCCCCUGGUACAA
rnacentral:tRNA from 1 species